GUCCGCAAUCUACAGGAGCAGAAGUACCACCUUCUUCAGGAAGGAAGUCCAUCUCAUCUCCACUCUGUAUGUCAUCUUCUAUAAAUAGCCGAUUAUCUAUGUGCACCAUAUCGUCGAUAGGUGUAUAAACUGAUGAUUCUCUAAUAGUGACACCAACCGCAUCAGGAUCAACGAGAGAAAAUUGAUCCUCUGCAUGUCUGGAACUUUGAG
rnacentral:lncRNA from 1 species